rnacentral:rRNA from 1 species
AGUGAACGCUGGCGGUAGGCCUAACACAUGCAAGUCGAACGGCAGCACAGUAAGAGCUUGCUCUUACGGGUGGCGAGUGGCGGACGGGUGAGGAAUACAUCGGGAUCUACUUUUUCGUGGGGGAUAACGUAGGGAAACUUACGCUAAUACCGCAUACGACCUACGGGUGAAAGCAGGGGGUCUUCGGACCUUGCGCGAUUGAAUGAGCCGAUGUCGGAUUAGCUAGUUGGCGGGGUAAAGGCCCACCAAGGCGACGAUCCGUAGCUGGUCUGAGAGGAUGAUCAGCCACACUGGAACUGAGACACGGUCCAGACUCCUACGGGAGGCAGCAGUGGGGAAUAUUGGACAAUGGGCGCAAGCCUGAUCCAGCCAUACCGCGUGGGUGAAGAAGGCCUUCGGGUUGUAAAGCCCUUUUGUUGGGAAAGAAAAGCAGCAGGUUAAUACCCCGCUGUUCUGACGGUACCCAAAGAAUAAGCACCGGCUAACUUCGUG